rnacentral:rRNA from 1 species
UAUCUCUGUAGAGUCUGCAUAUCAAUAAGCGGAGGAAAAGAAACUAACUAGGAUUCCCUCAGUAACGGCGAGUGAAGCGGGAAGAGCUCAAAUUUGAAAUCUUCAAGGUUCUACCUUGACGAAUUGUAGCUUAAAGAAGUGUUUUCUGUUGGAGUUUUGGUAAAAGUUCUUUGGAAUAGGACAUCAUAGAGGGUGAGAAUCCCGUAUUUGACCAUUAUUUCCAGCUUUGUGAUACACUUUCAAAGAGUCGGAUUGUUUGGGAAUGCAGUCCAAAAUGGGUGGUAAAUUUCAUCUAAAGCUAAAUACUGGCGAGAGACCGAUAGCGAACAAGUACCGUGAGGGAAAGAUGAAAAGAACUUUGAAAAGAGAGUUAAACAGUACGUGAAAUUGUCAAAAGGGAAGCGUUUGACACCAGUGUUGUUUUCUCGAAAAUCAAUUAAAAAAGGCAGGAUUUUGUGUUGUAUUGACUUUAUCAGCUUUCUGCACUCUUUUCUUGUCUUUUUUAAUGCACUUUUCGUUUAACAAGUCAACAUCAAUUUCUUUUGUCGUAAAAGGGUCAUUGGAAGGUGGCUUUCUUUUCGGAGAAAGUGUUUAUAGCCUUUGGCCUCUGCAAUCGGAGAGAUUGAGGUCUGCAGCGUAGAUCCUUCGGGGUUAGAUACAUUUGUGCUAAGUUAUAGCCUUUCAUAGACAACUUGUUGACUAUGAUCAGUCAUGUAGCUUACUCGCUUAUGCUAUUUUACCUACGCUUAGGAUGUUGACGAUCAGCUGAGCGCG